rnacentral:rRNA from 1 species
GAGUUUGAUCGUGGCUCAGGAUGAACGCUAGCUACAGGCUUAACACAUGCAAGUCGAGGGGCAGCAUGGUCUUAGCUUGCUAAGGCCGAUGGCGACCGGCGCACGGGUGAGUAACACGUAUCCAACCUGCCUCAUACUCGGGGAUAGCCUUUCGAAAGAAGAUUAAUAUCCGAUAGCAUAUAUUUCCCGCAUGGGUUUAUAUUAAAGAAUUCGGUAUGAGAUGGGGAUGCGUUCCAUUAGUUG